rnacentral:rRNA from 1 species
CCUACGGGAGGCAGCAGUGAGGAAUAUUGGUCAAUGGGCGCAAGCCUGAACCAGCCAUGCCGCGUGCAGGAUGACGGUCCUAUGGAUUGUAAACUGCUUUUAUACGAGAAGAAACACUCCUUCGUGAAGGAGCUUGACGGUAUCGUAAGAAUAAGGAUCGGCUAACUCCGUGCCAGCAGCCGCGGUAAUACGGAGGAUCCAAGCGUUAUCCGGAAUCAUUGGGUUUAAAGGGUCCGUAGGCGGUUAGAUAAGUCAGUGGUGAAAGCCCAUCGCUCAACGGUGGAACGGCCAUUGAUACUGUUUAACUUGAAUUAUUAGGAAGUAACUAGAAUAUGUAGUGUAGCGGUGAAAUGCUUAGAGAUUACAUGGAAUACCAAUUGCGAAGGCAGGUUACUACUAAUGGAUUGACGCUGAUGGACGAAAGCGUGGGUAGCGAACAGGAUUAGAUACCCUGGUAGUC